GUGAAUUAAGCGGUCUGUGUUGAGCGACAUGAAUUCCUUUACCGCGUGGCGUUCCAAAGGCGAUUCUCACCCGGGUGUUGCCUGUGCUGUGGCUCUCCUCUAUGCCCAAGAAACAGGUCUGCAUCCAGGCUUGGUGGGAAUUUCCACUACAGAAAGAGAAUCAAAUACCCCAGCCACUAUGCCAUGAAAUGCAACCUCUGGCUUCGCAACCUCUGUGAGUUGCUGAAUUCUUCCUUCCAAGUUGCUCGCCAACUACCAGACUCUCUGCGCAAGAUCAGCCAUCGCCAUUGUCCUCGUCUCUGAAAAUUGUUCUGUCAAUGAAAUGAUCUACCAUGAAGGACAUCUGUGGAAACACAGUCUGUGACGAGAGCCCAUGAAUAAUUUCCACGUGCUCCUGCCAGUCUUUUAAGCUGCGCGUCCUUGAGUCACAGAGACAUGGCUGGGCAGCUGAAAGUGUCACCGAGUAUUCCGUGGACACCACAGUUCACUCAAGUGUUAACUGCUCACAAGGAUACACAGCCAGCCUCCCCCAAACAUGAGGCGAUCCAACUGUGUUCUUCCCAUGAGAAGCCAAAGGCAUCUCUCCCCAAGCACAAAGUAGUAAAGAGCCCUGGAUGCCUGGUUCCUAUUCCUGGGAGCGUAUGCAAUUACUCUGUCACCCUGGUGGCCAACGCUGACUGUCCUAUCAGCAUGACUCCUGAUUAUCAGCUCCCCAUCUGCAUGAAAGUAAAAGCCAGCUCAUCCUAUUCACCGGCUCCGAAUCCUCCACUGGCUUCCCCUUUCACUAGAAUAAAACCCUAAAUCUUUACAAUGACCUGACAACAUAAUUCUCCCCCGUUCCCUCCGCCGAAACUGCUGUUAUUUUGCUGGCUUUGUGCAUUACUCAUCCUCUCUAGACCAGUUUGCUAGGGCUGCCGUAACAAAAUACUCCAGAAUGGGUGACGGAAACAACAGAAACUUAUUUUCCCACAGUCAUGGACGCUCACAGUGUCACCGGAUUUAGUUUCUUCUGAAAUGUCUCUCCUUAGCUUGAACAUGGCCAUCUUUUCACUGUGUCCUCACAUGGUCUUUCCUCUGGUGUCUCUCUGUGUCCAAAUAUCCUCUUUUAAUAAGGACACCAGUCAGACAGGAUUAGGGCUCACGCCUUCAUUUUAAUGUAGUCAUCUCUUUAAAAGGAUCUAUCUUCAAACACAGGGGUUAAGACUCCAGCACAUGAAAUCGGAGGGGACAGGAUUCAGCCCAUGGCACCCUCGAUCAUUCUGCUGCAGCCAACCUGACUUUCCGAAAGUUAUUCAAACAUACCCCUUGCCUUUACGCCAUCUAUUCCUUACCUCUCACACACUGCAAAUCCAAUAAAGUCUGCCCCGCUCUUUAAGGAUGCGCCUGC
rnacentral:lncRNA from 1 species